GAUGAACGCUAGCUACAGGCUUAACACAUGCAAGUCGAGGGGAAACGACAUCGAAAGCUUGCUUUUGAUGGGCGUCGACCGGCGCACGGGUGAGUAACGCGUAUCCAACCUGCCCAUCACUUGGGAAUAACCUUGCGAAAGUAAGACUAAUACCCAAUGACAUCCCACGAAGACAUCUGAAUGGGAUUAAAGAUUUAUCGGUGAUGGAUGGGGAUGCGUCUGAUUAGCUUGUUGGCGGGGUAACGGCCCACCAAGGCAACGAUCAGUAGGGGUUCUGAGAGGAAGGUCCCCCACAUUGGAACUGAGACACGGUCCAAACUCCUACGGGAGGCAGCAGUGAGGAAUAUUGGUCAAUGGGCGAGAGCCUGAACCAGCCAAGUAGCGUGCAGGAUGACGGCCCUGUGGGUUGUAAACUGCUUUUAUAAGGGAAUAAAGUGGGUCUCGUGAGACUUUUUGCAUGUACCUUAUGAAUAAGGACCGGCUAAUUCCGU
rnacentral:rRNA from 1 species